rnacentral:tRNA from 1 species
GCCCCGGUGGCUAAGUCCGGUUAUAGCAGCGGCCUUGUAUGUAAAGUGCCUGAGAGAGCCGCAGGUCGCGGGUUCGAAUCCCGCCCGGGGCU